CACGUAGGGUGCGAGCGUUGUCCGGAAUUAUUGGGCGUAAAGAGCUCGUAGGCGGUGUGUCGCGUCGGCCGUGAAAACCUGCAGCUUAACUGUGGGCUUGCGGUCGAUACGGGCAGACUAGAGGUAUGCAGGGGAGAAUGGAAUUCCUGGUGUAGCGGUGAAAUGCGCAGAUAUCAGGAGGAACACCGGUGGCGAAGGCGGUUCUCUGGGCAUUACCUGACGCUGAGGAGCGAAAGUGUGGGGAGCGAACAGG
rnacentral:rRNA from 1 species